ensembl:lncRNA
UUUUUAAGGCCUCUCCUGCAGCAUAUGGAGGUUCCCAGGCCAGGGGUCAAAUCAAAACUACAGCUGCCGGCCAACACCACAGCCACAGUAAUGCCAGAUCCAAGACACAUCUGGGAACUACGUCACAGCUCAUGGCAACACCGGAUCCUUAACUCACUGAGCAGGGCCAGGAAUCAAACCCACGUCUUCAUGGACACAAGUCAGGUUCAUUACCUCUGCACCACAAGGGAACUCCCAAGAUGCUACUCGUGUCCUCAUUUGAAGGAAAAGGGAACUGAGGCUGAGAACAGUUGUGUGACAGGCUCAGGGCUGCUUGGGGAGUAGGGGCAGGGUCAGCAGUCAAACCCUGACCCGCUGGGCAACCAGGAGCCACGGCUCCUCCCCAUUUGCAGAGGUGACACUUAGACACUGUGUGCCAGCCACUGUCCAGUGCUUUAAGAGAACUCACACUCAGCCCCUGGGGUGACUUUGGGCACACGGGCUGCUGUAGGUUUUUGGAGGAUCACAGUCCCUCAAGCAAGAGCCUGCUUAUGGAAAUGAAGAUGGGAAGGAUGGCUGCGAGGAGGAAUCGGGAGGAAAGGAUGAUUUCAGGCAUGAAUAACGUCAAAAAACCAAAUUUGGGAAGAUUCUAGAUUCAAACCCCCAUGACAAUCAUGGUAAAGGGCUUUUUUUUUUUUGUCUUUUUGUCUUUUUUAGGGCUGCUCCCAUGGCAUAUGGAAGUUCCCAGCCUAGGGGUCCAAUCGGAGCUGUAGCCACUGGCCAGCACCAGAGCCACAGCAAUGCGGGAUCCGAGCCACGUCUGCCACCUACACCACAGCUCACGGCAACGCUGGAUCCUUAACCCACUGAGCGAGGCCAGGGAUCGAAUCUGCAACCUCAUGGUUCCUAGUCGGAUUCGUUAACCACCGCACCAUCAUGGGAACUCUGUUUCCUCGCUGCCCCUCUGAAGCCUCUUCAUUAUGGAAAUGUCGCCACCUGGACAGCAACGCUGCCUUUAGGAGAAGCUGUCCUCUGGCUCCAGUCUGCCUUUAGCCUGGAGCCUCCUUAGGAAGCCUUCAUAGAGGCCGCAUGAUCACAAGAAUGAAACGUAAACUUUCCUCCCUCCUUUUGGAAUCUCCUCCUUUCAGUCACUCAUCUCCCCAGGAAAGAACACGAGCAAACAUCCCACGAGGGACGAGGCAGAUGGAACCGACGUAAAUCCCCAGAAUGAACAGGCCUGCUCUUGACUCCAAAACGGCCCUUCCCGAGACGCCCUUGCCGAUCAGCAGAUCUUGUCUUGUCUGCAAAUUCCAAUGACUCCCGGCCACACUCGAAGCAGAAGGAACCUGCUUAAGUUCUCCAACAGGCACGCCCAACAAAUGGCUCUGGAGGCUAACUGAAAUUUAAGGACACGCACAGAUCUUCACAAGGAUUUCUUAAAGUACCAGUUAAAACAUUCCAAUCUUGAAAAAGAGACUAGAAGGCGUCAAGGAGUGACCCAUUGCUCUGGGACUUGGCUGUCUGGAUCAUCAAAUCCAGCUCCCUCUAUGCCUGAUGAUGGGUGUGCGUCGCCGGGAUGCAUCGGGUGACGACGCCGUAACAAGCAGCCCCCCCGCCCCAUCAGGAACAUCUUAGGCCACAAUGCAGAAGAGCAGUUGAUUUCUCUGCGUCCGUCUCGGGUCAGGUGAGGCUCAUCUUUGUCCUUUUUCCAGGACCUACCACUACAGGGCAGCCAGUAUGGGAAAUCUUGCCAGCCAGCAGGGCAGAGGCACAGCACACACAAGCCUCUUCCGAUUUCUGCCUCAAAGAGUGUGUGUCUUUGACACAUCACUUUCAUCUGGAUUCCAGCGGCCAGAGCAAGUCAGGAAGCAGGCGGUAUAUCCGUACCACGGACGCAGACAGGGAAAGACACUCAGCAAUGGUGAACAGCC